UACGUAGGGCGCAGGCGUUAAUCGGAAUUACUGGGCGUAAAGCGUGCGCAGGCGGUUUGCUAAGUCAGGUGUGAAAUCCCCGGGCUUAACCUGGGAACUGCGCUUGUAACUGGCAAGCUGGAGUGUGGCAGAGGGGGGUGGAAUUCCACGUGUAGCAGUGAAAUGCGUAGAGAUGUGGAGGAACACCGAUGGCGAAGGCAGCCCCCUGGGCUAACACUGACGCUCAUGCACGAAAGCGUGGGGAGCAAACAGG
rnacentral:rRNA from 1 species